rnacentral:lncRNA from 1 species
AUUGUGACCUGGUGCAAGCUUGAAAAAAACAGCUGUUUAAAUCUUGGGGAUAGAUUUUAAGGUCAAGGGUUGGGCAGAAAAGAAAGUAUUUCAGUUCUUCUUCUGCAUUUUAAUCAAGUGCUUGUUGGUGACAACGGGUCAUACACUGUUCUAUGAAUUCUUUGUCUGGACUCAUGGAAAGCCCCUCAGUUACUGUUAAUGCGACAGAACGGACUCAAAAUAAUUCAGAGCACCCUCUUGUAAUCGCCCUCCUGUUUCACCACUUUUCUUGAGGCAGCUGGAACUUCACAAAAAAAAGGUAAGGAUAAAUCCUUUGAUUUACCACAUCCCAAGUGAUCUAGGCAGUAAGAGAUCUUGCUUAUGCAGGUGAUGAGACAGCAGUGUGUGUGGCAUUAAGUAUAGAAUGUCCCCAGAACAAGGAUAUCCAGGCUUUUUAAGUGAUGUACUAGUUCCUGCUCCUUCCUCUUGGAUAGGCCUCUUGGUGGCCUUUCUG